GUAUAAUGCUAAAUUAGCAAUGCCGUUGCUACCUAAACAGUGCACUUUUAUCGAUGACAUCGGUUCCUAGAAAACGCCACAACAAAUCUUAAAAUGAGCAAAGAAGACGCAGAAAAAAAGGAGCUACCAUCAAUUUUAAAUGGUACUUUCUUUUUACCGGACGGGAAGUGUAAACUGUGUGUGAACAAAACUAUCAAAUUUGAUGAAAAGUCAACCGGCAACUUGCAUAAACAUCUGAAGAGGGUUCACCCGAACAGUUAUUUUCUAUUCAGAAAUAGAAGUGAAAAUUUCCGGUGAGGCAAAAGAUCGAAAAUCCUGCUUCAGUACUCUUAACUCAGUCCAGGUAAAUAAUGAAAUUUGUGACUACAUUGUAACGGAAAUGUUACCACUAUGUCUUUGUAUCUCAGAAAAAGAAACCAAUGAUAUAUACAUAUGUUUAUAGAUCUGACGAUCUCAAAA